rnacentral:lncRNA from 1 species
ACCAGCUUCUUGUCUACGAGUACAUGAGCAAUGGCUCUCUAGCAAGCUUCCUGUUCGGCAAGACAAGGCCCAACUGGUAUCAAAGAAAGCAAAUUGCCUUGGGAACUGCAAGAGGGCUCUUAUACCUGCAUGAGGAGUGCACCAGCCAAAUCAUACAUUGUGACAUUAAGCCUCAAAACAUUCUCCUCGAUGAUUUUUUCACAGCAAGAAUAGCCGAUUUUGGAGUGGCCAAGCUCUUGAAAUGUGAACAAUCUCGAACAACUACUAGAAUCAGAGGCACAAAAGGUUAUGUUGCCC